rnacentral:rRNA from 1 species
AACGAACGCUGGCGGCAGGCUUAACACAUGCAAGUCGAACGGUUGUAGCAAUACAGCAGUGGCAGACGGGUGAGUAACACGUGGGAACCUUCCUAGGGGUACGGAACAACUCAGGGAAACUUGAGCUAAUACCGUAUACGUCCGUGAGGAGAAAGAUUUAUCGCCCUUAGACGGGCCCGCGUAGGAUUAAGUAGUUGGUGGGGUAAUGGCCUACCAAGCCUACGAUCCUUAGCUGAUCUGAGAGGAUGAUCAGCCACACUGGGACUGAGACACGGCCCAGACUCCUACGGGGGCGA